rnacentral:lncRNA from 1 species
UACAUUAGUAUUUCCUCAUCCUUAAUAGUUUCUAGAUUGUUUGUGCCCCCUUAGAUUAAGAAAUUAUAGGCUAAGUCAUAAAUCACCUACUGUUCCUUUGGGUUUGAUAUUAAAACUGGGUUAAUCUUGGUGAAGUGCUGAUCAGUAUAUAUUUGUGCGCUUGUGGAUAAUCUGAUUAUAGUCAUUAUUAGGGUGCAGUUAAUUUAUACCAACAUGCAUUUCUGGCGCCAUUGCCGGG